rnacentral:rRNA from 1 species
CCUUGCGGCCGUAGUCCCCAGGCGGAGUGCUUAAUGCGUUUGCUGCAGCACUAAAGGGCGGAAACCCUCUAACACUUAGCACUCAUCGUUUACGGCGUGGACUACCAGGGUAUCUAAUCCUGUUUGCUCCCCACGCUUUCGCGCCUCAGCGUCAGUUACAGACCAAAGAGUCGCCUUCGCCACUGGUGUUCCUCCACAUCUCUACGCAUUUCACCGCUACACGUGGAAUUCCACUCUUCUCUUCUGCACUCAAGUUCCCCAGUUUCCAAUGACCCUCCACGGUUGAGCCGUGGGCUUUCACAUCAGACUUAAGGAACCGCCUGCGCGCGCUUUACGCCCAAUAAUUCCGGACAACGCUUGCCACCUACGUAUUACCGCGGCUGCUGGCACGUAGUUAGCCGUGGCUUUCUGGUUAGGUACCGUCAAGGUACCGGCAGUUACUCCGGUACUUGUUCUUCCCUAACAACAGAGUUUUACGAUCCGAAAACCUUCAUCACUCACGCGGCGUUGCUCCGUCAGACUUUCGUCCAUUGCGGAAGAUUCCCUACUGCUGCCUCCCGUAGAGUCUGGGCCGUGUCUCAGUCCCAGUGUGGCCGAUCACCCUCUCAGGUCGGCUACGCAUCGUUGCCUUGGUGAGCCGUUACCUCACCAACUAGCUAAUGCGCCGCGGGCCCAUCUGUAAGUGAUAGCCGAAACCAUCU